rnacentral:rRNA from 1 species
UACGGAGGGUGCAAGCGUUAUCCGGAUUCACUGGGUUUAAAGGGAGCGUAGGUGGGCUGGUAAGUCAGUGGUGAAAUCUCCGGGCUUAACUCGGAAACUGCCGUUGAUACUAUCAGUCUUGAAUAUUGUGGAGGUAAGCGGAAUAUGUCAUGUAGCGGUGAAAUGCUUAGAUAUGACAUAGAACACCGAUAGCGAAGGCAGCUUGCUACACAAUUAUUGACACUGAGGCUCGAAAGCGUGGGAGUCAA